rnacentral:rRNA from 1 species
UACGUAGGGUGCGAGCGUUGUCCGGAAUUAUUGGGCGUAAAGGGCUCGUAGGCGGUCUGUUGCGUCAGGAGUGAAAACUCGGGGCUUAACCCCGAGCCUGCUUCUGAUACGGGCAGACUAGAGGUAUGCAGGGGAGAACGGAAUUCCUGGUGUAGCGGUGAAAUGCGCAGAUAUCAGGAGGAACACCUGCGGUGUAGACGGCUGGCUGGACCACUACUGACGCUGAGGCACGAAAGCGUGGGGAGCAAACAGG